rnacentral:rRNA from 1 species
UACGUAGGGUGCAAGCGUUAAUCGGAAUUACUGGGCGUAAAGCGUGCGCAGGCGGUUGUGUAAGUCAGAUGUGAAAACCCCGGGCUCAACCUGGGAACUGCAUUUGUGACUGCACGGCUGGAGUGCGGUAGAGGGGGAUGGAAUUCCGCGUGUAGCAGUGAAAUGCGUAGAUAUGUGGAGGAAUACCGAUGGCGAAGGCAGCCUCCUGGGCCAAAACUGACGCUCAUGCACGAAAGCGUGGGGAGCAAACAGG